rnacentral:sRNA from 1 species
CCUGAAGUAAAUAUAGUAACCCAGGAAAGAAGACUCCCAAAACAUCACAGGCUAUUGCAGUUGCCCAUGGUUGCCUUCUGUAACUAGAUGAAAGACAUCCUGAAAGUAUCAAGGAACAGCACAGAGCUGGAAAAUACCAAGAGGAUCACACCUAGCGGUGAUCUCACAGUAUAUUACAGUCACAGCAAUGGAAACCACUUGGGAUUGUCAUGACAACAGGCAAUAGGAGGUGUCCCUGGGAAGACAGGAUGGACAGACUUUACCUGACUGCAAAUACAGUUCCUGAUCUUAUCAAAAGUGUGUUGGUAUUAUUUUCAGGAAUGGAGAAAUUAACACUAAAAGGUAGAGAAUGUGCUACAAUAUCAAAAGCUCCAAAUUCUGAAAACAAUAAGUAUACCUUGGAGUAUUAGUACAUUAAAGUCACUGAAGUAAAAACCACUUAAUGCUGGUUUAAUACUGGAAUGCAGACAUGAUCAGUGAUGUGCAUAGAAUAAGGACAGCAUCACUCCCAUGAAUAAAAGAAAAUUUUAUUGCCGCCUUAUAUCAAUUCUGCUGUAGAAAAUCUUCUCAUCUCUAACUUAGGACAAUCCUAAGGAGAUUUUUCUCAGUGGAUGUCUCCAGAAUUAUUUCUAGUGAAACAGAAUGUGGCAAAACUGAUUUCAUGUCCCACUUUCACAUUCACUUGAUCCCCUUGCCAUCCCUUCACCAAUCCUCCAACAUACCUGGAUCCUUAGCUACUGUCUCCUCCCUCUCCACCUUCCAGGUUUCUGUUUUGCUCCACAGGUGAGCAGGUCUGGGUGAUCAGUGAGCCCUGCACAUGUGCAUGAGAUUCAUCAGAAAGCAUCUGGAUGGCUAACACAGUAGUGCUCAGGAGAUAGAGAGGAUUCAAAAGUGAUCCUCCAAUACUGAAGAUACUUUGAAUUCAUUUUCAUUUAGCCUUAACUGGAAGCCCAUACCCAAUCACAGGUUAGUAAAAAACUGACGGGGACAAACCAAACUGAAUGAUUGGGAUGACAGCACUAUACAGUAGUGAGGUUCUGAAUUUAUCAUGGAUCAAACAUACUAGAAGCCUUAUACCUCUCAAAGAGAUUCACAAGACGUUUGAAUAUUUUAUGAAAAUUUUUGUCAUUCCUCCGAGGAUUUCACUUCAUUCUGUGAGAUACAAGACGCAGUUACACAGGAACAUAGAUAACAGUUGUUUUCCCAGGACCCUGAGGUGGACAGAGGGAGAUAGCAAACAAAGUAUCCUCACUCACUGAAAUCUGACCGCUUUAAUUCUGUGACAUGCAGUCUCUGUACAAAACCUUCUGAGCAGGGUCCAGGCAUUGCCCCUUCUUCUGGAACAAGUUCACACUGUCAAAUGACCACAAAAUAAAAGAGUGUGGACAGUUGUGCUAGUGCACACUUUUGGACUCCCUUACAUUUGCAGCCACUCCUUUCAUGACUACUAUCUAAAAGCUCUCCUGGGAUGCUCAAUUACCAAGUAAGUCCCCGGGUAUUACAGGGGAGUUAAUGUGAAAAAAAUGUAAAUUUCAACAGUUUUGUCCUUUUCACCUUAACAAAUAUAAUAGUUUUUUUCCUUACUCACUUUACACAUUACUAACUGCCCUCCUCUGGGUCACCCACCCACUCCCACAAUCCUUUUCCCAUUCCCCCCUUUCUACUCUGAGUGAGUGGGGCCCCUCUGGGUAUCCCCCGGUCCCCCAGCACUGAACAUAUUCCACAUGUAGGCAACAGCUUUUGACAUAGGCCCUGCUCCAGUUGGUCGGGAC